GUGGGUAUAGCUCAGUUGGAAGAGCGCAAGAUUGUGGCUCUUGAGGCCAUGGGUUCAAGCCCCAUUACUCACCCCA
rnacentral:tRNA from 1 species